rnacentral:rRNA from 1 species
UACGUAGGUGGCAAGCGUUGUCCGGAUUUACUGGGCGUAAAGAGCGCGCAGGCGGUCGGAUAAGUCGAAUGUGAAAGCCCCCGGCUCAACUGGGGAGGGUCAUUCGAUACUGUUCGACUCGAAGGCAGGAGAGGGAAGUGGAAUUCCCGGUGUAGUGGUGAAAUUCGUAGAUAUUCGGAAGAACACCAGUGGCGAAGGCGACUUACUGGACACAUAUUGACGCUGAGGUGCGAAAGCGUGGGGAGCAAACAGG